rnacentral:lncRNA from 1 species
UGUGGUGAAUAAUAUAAGCACUAACACCAUGAUUGCAGGUUAUGAGCUAUCCAUAAUAUACACAUCAACAAUGCACAUGAAUAAUAUAAAACUCACCUGAUACUUACCUGUGCGUCCACAGCACCAAUUCACAUAUAUAUAUGCAUCAUAUAUCAAUUCAUGCUUUUCAUAUACUUCUAUGCAUGGCAUUUCAAAUCAUACUUUUCAUAUAAAUCUAUCCAUGGCAUUUUAAAUCAUGCUUUCAUUUAAAUUCAAUUUCUGGGAAAACUCAAUAGUAUAUAGGUAAUACGAAAACAAAACUGCCCACUCACCUGGAGUUCGCCCUACAACUCCCUAGCACAACUCAUCAAGGCGUCAUGACGAUCGCCGCCUAGAACAAUAAUCAAAUCCAACCUCAGAAAUCAUAUCAAUAGAAUAUAACUUAUAUAAAAUACGUCACUACGUAGAUUGAUCCGAAAGAUCUGCAACUCAGAUUUUAAAUCCAUAACUUCCAGAGUCCACAAUAUAUCUCUAGGACAACAUCCUGAAAUUUCAUUACCAUCCAACGGUCGGAUCUCCGUCAAUUUCCAAAACUAAGUGACGGUUAACAUUUUAUUUUAUAAACUUACAACUCCAAUUCCGGAAGAUCCGUAACUCGGAUUCCCAAUCCGUAAGUUCCAAUAAUCCUCAAAUAUUACGUAUUACAACGUAUCAAAGUUUGGUGACGAUCCAACGGUCGGAUCGUCAAUUCACAUUUUCACCUAAAUGUGAAAACUAUAAAACGUUAUUUAAAGCACCUAACCAAUAAUCGUAAUAACUUUCUCAUACGGUGCUCAAUUUGGGUAUAUGAAUAUACCACAUUGACCUACUCGACGUCGACAAAUUUUUAAAAUAAUUUUUUACUGUGGCACGCGCCCCCACGCGCCAAGGAAGGCACGGGUCCACGCGCACCUUCUUCCUCGCGAGUUCGCCGGACUGGUUUUUCUCCGGUGGCCGAAUUCUGGGCAUUUUUCAAAUGCCUUGUUCUCCUUCGUUUCUCAACCAUUUUCUUCGUAUAAUAUAUCAAUUUAAAGCCCUCAACAUGUAGAAUCACAAUAUACUACUUUUAAGCUUCAAAAACAACUAAAUCUCACCGGAAAAAUCCAAGCAAAACCGGCCAAACUUAACCCUCGUGAUCCCGACGUCCAAAUCCUUCCAACGAAGCACUCCAAGCUUCCUUGGGACCUCACUAAGCUCACUAUGAGCUUGGAUUGUCCUAAAAAUCAACCAACAAAAAGUUCAUGAACAGUGCCAAAAUCGGUGCUUGGGAUUUCGAUGUGAAAUCGAAAGAUUUCUUACCUGAAAUAGGUGUGGUUGAGUUCGUAUAGUCCUCACGAGCACGAUGGUACCUUCACAACCUUCGAUCCGUGCUUGUAGGCUUGGUGGUGAGUGUGUCCGUACAAGUCGAGAGUUAAAGAGUGAGAGAAAGCCCUGAGGGAGGAGAGAGGCAGCACGGGGGAAGGAAAGGGUUGAGGUUGACCCGUGUGUGUGUUGUGUGGUCCAACAAAACCCACCAAAAUUCCAAGUCUUUUAAUUCCUUAACCACACAAAAAUACAUACCAAAUUUUAAAUCAACCUUUAAUCCAAUUUAAUUAAUUUUCCAAAAACUUAGGAACCAUGAAAUGUUCAAACAUAUCACACACACGUACCUUAAUAACCGCUAAGGGUAAAUCCGUCAUUUCACAUUCCCGUCAAAUGUAUCUCCGGGACGGGCUGUGACAAUGGGGGACUUCAAUGUAAUUAUGUAAUAAAAAAAUGGGCAAAUAUGUAAUAAGUGAGGAGCCCUUAUUCUAUAAAAGGACCCCUCACUCUCCUCAUUAGGGGAGGCCAAUUCUUAGGCCUGAUCCUCACCCUCUCCAAGCUCUCACUCUCAUAUUCAGAGCUUUCUUUCUCCCUCAGAAAUACAAUAUCAGUGUGGACGUAGCCCAAACCUUGGGGUGAACCACGAUAUAUCUUGUGUUAUUUACUUUCUUGCAGAUUCACGGUCGGAUUUACGUUGUUCCAAGACCCCUCCGAUUUUGUGCAUCACCCAUAUCAAUCAUACAUAUACAUUCAUGAGCAUCACUCAUAUCAAUCAUACAUAAACAUUCAUGAGCAUCACUCAUGUCAAUCAGCUUUGAAAGUUUCAUUUACAGAGCUCCAGCUUUCAAAGUGUCAUUUACAAAAGCUCCAACUUCAAAAGCUUCACUUGCAAAGCUUCACCUACAAAGCUUCAGUGCAUGGUCUACAAAGACCGUCUCCGAACAACCGCCUAUUCGGCCCAUACAUGGAUUCAAUUUGAAGUCUCCAACCAACAGACUCUAUUGACCGAAGACUUGGGGAACUACAUUAUGUACCAUAUAUUAGGCAUCAACUGGGCCUCAUGAAAAAUACUUUGGGGACUUAGCACAGUAUUUAUGUAUUGAGGAGCGAGCUCUUAUUUUAUAAAAGGGACUCCCUCACCAUCAUUAGAGACCAUCAACUCUAACCUAUUAUUCAUGUAUUGAGAUGCGAGCCCUUAUUUUAUAAAAUGGACUCCCUCAUCAUCAUUAGAGAGCAUCAACUCUAGCCCAUUAUUCAUGUAUUGAGGAGCGACCCCUUAUUCUAUAAAAGGGACUCCCUCACCAUCAUUAGAGAGUAUCGCUGCCUACUGAGCAACCGCCUCUCCGCGAGCAUCAACUCUAGCCCAUAUUU